CUGCGCAUAGAGAAUGGAACUGGAACACAGCUGAUUGUCACUCCUUUGAAAAGGGAAGAUAAACAUGGAGAAUCCUCUGACAAAUAUGGUGGAGAGCACGGAUCUAAUGAUGCUGCUACUGGUGAAAGCGGGGCUGCCGUGUCAGAAAUUGUCCAAGAGGAUGUAAUCGUUUUUGUCCUGCGGUGCCUGCCUUUUGUCACAUUGCUGAUGGCCUCAUGUUACCUGAGCAGAGAUGGGAAGAAAGGGAAAUCUAAAGUCCAACAGGUAAAACGCACUACCACUCACGUCCAGGAGGAGGCAGCAGAGGAGAGUGUGGGAAAGCAGGAUGAAGGUGAGGCUGAUGAAGGAGAAGAAAACAGGAUGGAGAGGAUGGAGAGAGGGAUCUGCCAAGAGGAAGAGGAUACAGGGGCUGAAAAGGAGGAAGAGGAAAGAGGGACUAAAAUAGAAGAAGAGAGAGGGGCUGCAAUUGAGGAAAAGGAGAGAAGGGCUGAAAAAGAGGAAGGGGCUGCAAUUGAGGAAGAGGAGGCAGAGGCUGAAAAAGAGAAAGAGGACACACAAGCUGAAAAAGAGAAAGAGGAGAGAAGGUCUAAAAUAGAGGAAGAGGAUACAAGAAAUGAAAAAGAGAAAGAGGAGGCAAGGCUAAAAUAGAAGAGGCAACAGGGGCUGAAAUAGAAGAUGAGGAGAGAGGGGCUGAAAAGGAGGAAGAGAGAGGCGCUGAAUGAGAGCAAUGUGUGGAGGGAGGGAAUGGAGUGGAUCAGAGGAGAGGAUGGCUUGGAUGUGACGGGGCUAAGUUGUCCCAGCAGUGCAGUCCAACACAACGCAGGUCACACGGAGGAAGUCUGCUCCCCCGCUGUGACUGAAAUACUGCCACUGGAAGAGCACGAUGGGCAGCAGCAUCAGGAUGUAGAAACCUUGUGAGGAUUAGGCUCCUUUAGAACAGCUUUGUUACAGGUCAUAUGCUUUCAUUAAUAUGUAUUUCACCACACUGCACUGUUGAGACAUAAUUAACAUGUGUGUAUAUACUUGUUAAAUGUUUUACCU